rnacentral:rRNA from 4 species
UUAAGCGACUAAGCGUACACGGUGGAUGCCCUGGCAGUCAGAGGCGAUGAAGGACGUGCUAAUCUGCGAUAAGCGUCGGUAAGGUGAUAUGAACCGUUAUAACCGGCGAUUUCCGAAUGGGGAAACCCAGUGUGUUUCGACACACUAUCAUUAACUGAAUCCAUAGGUUAAUGAGGCGAACCGGGGGAACUGAAACAUCUAAGUACCCCGAGGAAAAGAAAUCAACCGAGAUUCCCCCAGUAGCGGCGAGCGAACGGGGAGCAGCCCAGAGCCUGAAUCAGUGUGUGUGUUAGUGGAAGCGUCUGGAAAGGCGCGCGAUACAGGGUGACAGCCCCGUACACAAAAAUGCACAUGCUGUGAGCUCGAUGAGUAGGGCGGGACACGUGGUAUCCUGUCUGAAUAUGGGGGGACCAUCCUCCAAGGCUAAAUACUCCUGACUGACCGAUAGUGAACCAGUACCGUGAGGGAAAGGCGAAAAGAACCCCGGCGAGGGGAGUGAAAAAGAACCUGAAACCGUGUACGUACAAGCAGUGGGAGCACGCUUAGGCGUGUGACUGCGUACCUUUUGUAUAAUGGGUCAGCGACUUAUAUUCUGUAGCAAGGUUAACCGAAUAGGGGAGCCGAAGGGAAACCGAGUCUUAACUGGGCGUUAAGUUGCAGGGUAUAGACCCGAAACCCGGUGAUCUAGCCAUGGGCAGGUUGAAGGUUGGGUAACACUAACUGGAGGACCGAACCGACUAAUGUUGAAAAAUUAGCGGAUGACUUGUGGCUGGGGGUGAAAGGCCAAUCAAACCGGGAGAUAGCUGGUUCUCCCCGAAAGCUAUUUAGGUAGCGCCUCGUGAAUUCAUCUCCGGGGGUAGAGCACUGUUUCGGCAAGGGGGUCAUCCCGACUUACCAACCCGAUGCAAACUGCGAAUACCGGAGAAUGUUAUCACGGGAGACACACGGCGGGUGCUAACGUCCGUCGUGAAGAGGGAAACAACCCAGACCGCCAGCUAAGGUCCCAAAGUCAUGGUUAAGUGGGAAACGAUGUGGGAAGGCCCAGACAGCCAGGAUGUUGGCUUAGAAGCAGCCAUCAUUUAAAGAAAGCGUAAUAGCUCACUGGUCGAGUCGGCCUGCGCGGAAGAUGUAACGGGGCUAAACCAUGCACCGAAGCUGCGGCAGCGACGCUUAUGCGUUGUUGGGUAGGGGAGCGUUCUGUAAGCCUGCGAAGGUGUGCUGUGAGGCAUGCUGGAGGUAUCAGAAGUGCGAAUGCUGACAUAAGUAACGAUAAAGCGGGUGAAAAGCCCGCUCGCCGGAAGACCAAGGGUUCCUGUCCAACGUUAAUCGGGGCAGGGUGAGUCGACCCCUAAGGCGAGGCCGAAAGGCGUAGUCGAUGGGAAACAGGUUAAUAUUCCUGUACUUGGUGUUACUGCGAAGGGGGGACGGAGAAGGCUAUGUUGGCCGGGCGACGGUUGUCCCGGUUUAAGCGUGUAGGCUGGUUUUCCAGGCAAAUCCGGAAAAUCAAGGCUGAGGCGUGAUGACGAGGCACUACGGUGCUGAAGCAACAAAUGCCCUGCUUCCAGGAAAAGCCUCUAAGCAUCAGGUAACAUCAAAUCGUACCCCAAACCGACACAGGUGGUCAGGUAGAGAAUACCAAGGCGCUUGAGAGAACUCGGGUGAAGGAACUAGGCAAAAUGGUGCCGUAACUUCGGGAGAAGGCACGCUGAUAUGUAGGUGAAGCGACUUGCUCGUGGAGCUGAAAUCAGUCGAAGAUACCAGCUGGCUGCAACUGUUUAUUAAAAACACAGCACUGUGCAAACACGAAAGUGGACGUAUACGGUGUGACGCCUGCCCGGUGCCGGAAGGUUAAUUGAUGGGGUUAGCGCAAGCGAAGCUCUUGAUCGAAGCCCCGGUAAACGGCGGCCGUAACUAUAACGGUCCUAAGGUAGCGAAAUUCCUUGUCGGGUAAGUUCCGACCUGCACGAAUGGCGUAAUGAUGGCCAGGCUGUCUCCACCCGAGACUCAGUGAAAUUGAACUCGCUGUGAAGAUGCAGUGUACCCGCGGCAAGACGGAAAGACCCCGUGAACCUUUACUAUAGCUUGACACUGAACAUUGAGCCUUGAUGUGUAGGAUAGGUGGGAGGCUUAGAAGUGUGGACGCCAGUCUGCAUGGAGCCGACCUUGAAAUACCACCCUUUAAUGUUUGAUGUUCUAACGUUGACCCGUAAUCCGGGUUGCGGACAGUGUCUGGUGGGUAGUUUGACUGGGGCGGUCUCCUCCUAAAGAGUAACGGAGGAGCACGAAGGUUGGCUAAUCCUGGUCGGACAUCAGGAGGUUAGUGCAAUGGCAUAAGCCAGCUUGACUGCGAGCGUGACGGCGCGAGCAGGUGCGAAAGCAGGUCAUAGUGAUCCGGUGGUUCUGAAUGGAAGGGCCAUCGCUCAACGGAUAAAAGGUACUCCGGGGAUAACAGGCUGAUACCGCCCAAGAGUUCAUAUCGACGGCGGUGUUUGGCACCUCGAUGUCGGCUCAUCACAUCCUGGGGCUGAAGUAGGUCCCAAGGGUAUGGCUGUUCGCCAUUUAAAGUGGUACGCGAGCUGGGUUUAGAACGUCGUGAGACAGUUCGGUCCCUAUCUGCCGUGGGCGCUGGAGAACUGAGGGGGGCUGCUCCUAGUACGAGAGGACCGGAGUGGACGCAUCACUGGUGUUCGGGUUGUCAUGCCAAUGGCACUGCCCGGUAGCUAAAUGCGGAAGAGAUAAGUGCUGAAAGCAUCUAAGCACGAAACUUGCCCCGAGAUGAGUUCUCCCUGACCCUUUAAGGGUCCUGAAGGAACGUUGAAGACGACGACGUUGAUAGGCCGGGUGUGUAAGCGCAGCGAUGCGUUGAGCUAACCGGUACUAAUGAACCGUGAGGCUUAACCUU